rnacentral:rRNA from 1 species
UACGGAAGGCAGCAGUGGGGAAUAUUGCACAAUGGGCGCAAGCCUGAUGCAGCCAUGCCGCGUGUAUGAAGAAGGCCUUCGGGUUGUAAAGUACUUUCAGUCGUGAGGAAGGUGUUAAGGUUAAUAACCUUAGCAAUUGACGUUAGCGACAGAAGAAGCACCGGCUAACUCCGUGCCAGCAGCCGCGGUAAUACGGAGGGUGCGAGCGUUAAUCGGAAUUACUGGGCGUAAAGGGCACGCAGGCGGUUAAUUAAGUUGGAUGUGAAAUCCCCGGGCUUAACCUGGGAAUGGCAUUCAAGACUGGUUAGCUAGAGUCUUGUAGAGGGGGUAGAAUUCCGAUGUGUAGCGGUGAAAUGCGUAGAGAUGUGGAGGAAUACCGGUGGGCGAAGGCGGCCCCUGGGACAAAGACUGACGCUCAUGUGCGAAAGCGUGGGGAGCAAA